rnacentral:rRNA from 1 species
UACGUAGGGGGCGAGCGUUAUCCGGAAUUAUUGGGCGUAAAGAGUACGUAGGUGGUCUGUUAAGCGCAAGGUGAAAGACCGAGGCUUAACUUCGGUGAGCCUUGUGAACUGGCAGACUUGAGUGCAGGAGGGGAAAGUGGAAUUCCUGGUGUAGCGGUGAAAUGCGCAGAUAUCAGGAGGAACACCGGUGGCGAAGGCGACUUUCUGGACUGUAACUGACACUGAGGUACGAAAGCGUGGGUAGC